UACAGAGGCCUCAAGCGUUGUUCGGAUUUAUUGGGCGUAAAGGGUGCGUAGGCGGUACCGAAAGUUAGGUGUGAAAGUUCGAGGCUUAACCUCGAAAUUGCACCUAAUACUCCGGUGCUUGAGUCUCAUAGAGGAAUCUGGAAUUCACGGUGUAGCAGUGAAAUGCGUAGGUAUCGUGAAGAAGGCCUGUGGCGAAAGCAAGAUUCUGGGUGACGACUGACGCUGAGGCACGAAAGCCAGGGGAGCAAACGGG
rnacentral:rRNA from 1 species